rnacentral:rRNA from 2 species
AGAGUUUGAUCAUGGCUCAGAGCGAACGCUGGCGGCAGGCUUAACACAUGCAAGUCGAGCGGGCACUUCGGUGUCAGCGGCAGACGGGUGAGUAACACGUGGGAACGUACCCUUCGGUUCGGAAUAACUCAGGGAAACUUGAGCUAAUACCGGAUACGCCCUUUGGGGGAAAGGUUUACUGCCGAAGGAUCGGCCCGCGUCUGAUUAGCUAGUUGGUGGGGUAACGGCCUACCAAGGCGACGAUCAGUAGCUGGUCUGAGAGGAUGAUCAGCCACACUGGGACUGAGACACGGCCCAGACUCCUACGGGAGGCAGCAGUGGGGAAUAUUGGACAAUGGGCGCAAGCCUGAUCCAGCCAUGCCGCGUGAGUGAUGAAGGCCUUAGGGUUGUAAAGCUCUUUCGACGGGGACGAUAAUGACGGUACCCGUAGAAGAAGCCCCGGCUAACUUCGUGCCAGCAGCCGCGGUAAUACGAAGGGGGCUAGCGUUGCUCGGAAUCACUGGGCGUAAAGGGCGCGUAGGCGGAUACUUAAGUCAGGGGUGAAAGCCCGAGGCUCAACCUCGGAACUGCCUUUGAUACUGAGUAUCUUGAGACCGGUAGAGGUAAGUGGAACUGCGAGUGUAGAGGUGAAAUUCGUAGAUAUUCGCAAGAACACCAGUGGCGAAGGCGGCUUACUGGACCGGUUCUGACGCUGAGGCGCGAAAGCGUGGGGAGCAAACAGGAUUAGAUACCCCCGUAGUCC